rnacentral:lncRNA from 1 species
GUACUGUCCCCUAGUGUCUAGCCAAUAUGAAUACUUCUCAAGUGGGUUGGCAGUUUCUUCUAGAUCAGUUAAUGAAUAUCAUACUGUCAUGGAAUAGGGACUCAUCUCUAAAGAGUUAAUUUCAGCAUAACUUUUAGAUUGAAUAUUUUGCUUUCUUGAAGCCUAAUUUACAAUCCCACUGUAAUCAUACUUGUAAGAGUGAGCACGGACACCUCAAGGAACAGCAAAACCGAAACACAUUGUGUAUUUGUGUUUAUGAGGAAACCAGGGAGACAUAGACUCCUGGACACACAUCCACAUGGUUGCACACACAAGCUAAGACAUUUUGUUUAUACUUGCUAAUAGAUUUUGUAUACUAUAGUUGUCUGGGCAACAGUCAGAGGACAACAGAACUUUGCAAAUAAUUAAAGUGAAGGAUAGUAGAAUGUACUGAGAAAAUAAAAUUCACUGAGCAAAGCUGCAAUGGCAUAAGCCUGGCCUCUAUGUAAAACCGUCUUUCUUUUUAAGUUGACUCGCCCUUUUGUCAGUCAGUCACAUUCUAAACAUAUUGCUGAUGUGAUUUGCCUUCCAAUCAGCUUGAGAGUGUCUUCAUUUGUAAAGCUAGAGGAGAGCGACAAGAAGGGAAGUUCAUGAGAGAAACCAGUGGCACUAUGGUCCUGACGAUGUUUGCAUGCCACAAGUUAAGGAUAAGUUUCUGAUAAUUCACUGCUACUACCUUCUAUGCUUUAUUAUCUAUUGUGAUCUUAUAAAUCCAGGCUUUACUAAGUAACAGAGAAGGCAUAACAAAUCUGUUUCUGCCCGUCCCUACAAUCACAGACUUCCUUAAGGACCUGGAGGAGGCUGUCUUAAAUAUAAGCCAUGCAGCAAAUCUACAAAAACAGCUCUUUAAUGAACGUCUUGGUUACUUCAAGCAAGAAGGAUAUUACCAAUGCAAAAUUUUGAGAGCAUUCCUUGAAAUCCACACUCAAACUCCUGAGUGUUUAUGCUCAUCUUAAUAUGAAUAAUGAGCUAAAUUUGGGUUAGUAAAACUAUUUUCCC